GCACAGAGCUGACACUUGUGUCCCAGCCAAUUAUCAUCUUUGCUAAAAUUGUGCAGAACUCUCUAAAGAACUACUUAUACUUUAUAAUGUCAUUUAAGAAAAGGUCAAACAAUCUAAGUGACAUCGUCUCAUCCAGCAUACCACAUUUUUGGUGUUUCCUAUCUCAUUUACUCAUCACAUUAAAAGUGUUUUAAUGUGUUUCAGGACGGUCUCUCACCAGCAAGCAGGAGUCUGGGCAGCAGAAGUAGCCCAAGUCACAGGUGACAGUGAGGUGCUUAACUGAGAAGACGGCGACUGGCAUGCUGAGCAGAGGACACGCAUUGAUUAAAGCUGGCAUUUAAAAACUACUUGUCGUAGUUUGUCCCUGCUUUGAGGAGCACCGGAUGGUUUUAAGAUGGAGAUUUCCCCCGGGGACACGGCGCAUUUGAACGUGUUGAUUAUCCUCGGCCAUAAGUUACACCCUCAACUGGCCCGCGGACACAAUUAAUCACAUGACCCACCGUGCCGAGAUUAAUUCUGAAGCCUUGGACUACAGCCCCUUCCAUUCAAUCACGGAUGGAAAUCUAACAGAGACAGCCAAUAAUAUGAGCGCACACAGAGACUAAUGAGAAGAUGAAUGCUGCUACAUAGGGAGAGAAAAUCAAACAAAUAAACAAACAGAUGCCCUUAUUAAGCAGAUUCGGGUGAAGUCAGGCAACAGAGACAGACUGUGCCGUCCACCAGCUGCUAGUCGUAAAGGACCACUGUAACUCAACCCUCACAUAGCAACCCCCUCAUAAUCGGCAUGACAAAAUGACGCCCAGUCAACACCAUCACCCGCUCCCUUGUGGCAUGAAAACUGUGGACUGGGACAUUUAAUACUAA